ACGAGAUGUAGAGAGGUCUCGUGGGCUCGGAGAUGUGUAUAAGAGACAGGAAGGGGGCCACAGAAAAUCGGCUCUAACGACUGUUUAUCAAAAACACAGGUCUCUGCUAACACGCAAGUGGAUGUAUAGAGACUGACGCCUGCCCGGUGCUGGUAGGUUAAGGAAGACGGUUAGCCUCACGGCGAAGCUGGCGACCGAAGCCCCAGUAAACGGCGGCCCUAACUAUGAGGGUCCUAAGGUAGCGAAGUUCCUUGUCGGGUAAGUUCCGACCUGCAUGAAAGGCGUAACGAUUUGAGCACUGUCUCAACCACCGACCCGGUGAAAUUGUAGUUGUGGUGAAGAUGCCACAUACCCGCGGUUAGACGGAAAGACCCCGUGAACCUUUACUGUAGGCUGAUAUUGGGUUGAGAUAUGUCUUGUGUAGGAUAGCUGGGAGGCUUUGAACAGAUGGCGCUAGCCAUUUGGGAGCCGUUGUUGAAAUACCAGCCUGGUCAUAUUUUAAUUCUAACUUUGAUCCCCUGAAUCGGGGCAAAGGACAGUGUCAGUCGGGCAGUUUGACUGGGGCGGUCUCCUCCCAAAGAGUAACGGAGGAGUACAAAGGUACACUCAGCCUGGUCGGCAAUCAGGCGUAGAGCGUAAAGGUAGAAGUGUGCUUGACUGCGAGACUCAUAAGUCGAGCAGGAACGAAAGUUGGUCUUAGUGAUCCGGUAAUCCCGAAUGGAAGGGUUAUCGCUCAUCAGAUAAAAGGUACUCCGGGGAUAACAGGCUUAUCGCAUCCGAGCGUCCACAGCGGCGAUGCGGUUUGGCACCUCGAUGUCGGCUCAUCACAUCCUGGGGGUGUAGAAGCUCCCAAGGGUUUGGCUGUUCGCCAAUUAAAGUGGUACGUGAGCUGGGUUCAGACCGUCGUGAGACAGGUCGGUCCCUAUCUGCCGUGGGCGUUCGAAUCUUGAGGAGGUUCAACUUUAGUACGAGAGGAUUUAGUUGGACAUAGCUCUGGUGUACCAGUUGUCGCGCUAGCGGCACGGCUGGAUAGCUAACUAUGGAACGGAUAAACGCUGAAAGCAUCUAAGCGUGAAGCCCAACCCGAGAUUAGGAUUCGUAUGUCAUUUGACGAAAGCCCCCUGGAAGACGACCAGGUUGAUAGGCUGGGCGUGUAAGCACGGUAACGUGUUAAGCUAACCAGUACUAAUGGGCGAAUGAUUGGUCAU
rnacentral:rRNA from 1 species